rnacentral:rRNA from 1 species
UUAGAAGCAGGGUUGCCUAACCGACCAAGGAAGGGGCGCCCUAACCACCGGGUCGACGGCGUUCAUGACUGGGGUG